rnacentral:rRNA from 1 species
GACGAACGCUGGCGGCGCGCUUAACACAUGCAAGUCGAACGGAAAGGCCUGCUUUCCCUUGUGGAUUGCGGGUACUCGAGUGGCGAACGGGUGAGUAACACGUGAGUGAUCUGCCCCCAACUUGGGUAUAAGCCUGGGAAACUGGGUCUAAUUCCCGAUAGGACUGCAGGGUGGUGCCUGUGGUGGAAAACGAUUUUCUAGUGGUUGGGGAUGAGCUCGCGGCCUAUCAGCUUGUUGGUGGGGUAAUGGCCUACCAAGGCGGCGACGGGUAGCCGGCCUGGGAGGGUGGACGGCCACAUUGGGACUGAGAUACGGCCCAGACUCCUACGGGAGGCAACAGUGGGGAAUAUUGCACAAUGGGCGGAAGCCUGAUGCAGCGACGCCGCGUGGGGGAUGACGGCCUUCGGGUUGUAAACUCCUUUCGACCGCGAGGAAGCCACCUGGUUGGAAGGGUGGUGACGGUAGUGGUAGAAGAAGCACCGGCUAACUACGUG